rnacentral:rRNA from 1 species
CCUGCAGGAGGAUCAUUA